rnacentral:rRNA from 1 species
UACGUACGAGGCGAGCGUUAUCCGGAAUUACUGGGCGUAAAGCGCGCGCAGGUGGUUGGUUAAGUUGGACGUGAAAUCUCCCGGCCUAACUGGGAGGGGUCGUUCGAAACUGGCCGACUUGAGGACUGAAGAGGCGAGUGGAAUUCCUGGUGUAGCGGUGAAAUGCGCAGAUAUCAGGAGGAACACCAAUGGCGAAGGCAGCUCGCUGGGACGUGACUGACGCUGAGACGCGAAAGCGUGGGGAGCAAACAGG